rnacentral:rRNA from 1 species
UACGAAGGUCCCAAGCGUUAUCCGGAUUUAUUGGGUUUAAAGGGUGCGUAGGCGGCUUAUUAAGUCAGUGGUGAAAGCCCCAAGCUUAACUUGGGAACUGCCAUUGAUACUGAUGAGCUUGAGUAGAUUUGAGGCGGGCGGAAUGUGUCGUGUAGCGGUGAAAUGCCUAGAUAUGACACAGAACACCAAUUGCGUAGGCAGCUCGCUAAACUCUUACUGACGCUGAGGCACGAAAGCAUGGGGAUCAAACAGG